UACGUAGGGGGCAAGCGUUGUCCGGAAUCAUUGGGCGUAAAGAGCGCGUAGGCGGCCCUGUAAGUCCGCUGUGAAAGUCAAGGGCUCAACCCUUGAAUGCCGGUGGAUACUGCAGGGCUAGAGUCCGGAAGAGGCGAGUGGAAUUCCUGGUGUAGCGGUGAAAUGCGUAGAUAUUGGGAGGAACACCAGUGGCGAAGGCGGACUCACUGGACCGGUACUGACGCUGAGGCGCGAAAGCGUGGGGAGCAAACGGG
rnacentral:rRNA from 1 species